GGAUUAGUGGCGAACGGGUGAGUAACACGUGGGCAAUCUGCCCUGCACUCUGGGACAAGCCCUGGAAACGGGGUCUAAUACCGGAUAUUGACCUUCACGGGCAUCUGUGAGGUUCGAAAGCUCCGGCGGUGCAGGAUGAGCCCGCGGCCUAUCAGCUUGUUGGUGAGGUAAUGGCUCACCAAGGCGACGACGGGUAGCCGGCCUGAGAGGGCGACCGGCCACACUGGGACUGAGACACGGCCCAGACUCCUACGGGAGGCAGCAGUGGGGAAUAUUGCACAAUGGGCGAAAGCCUGAUGCAGCGACGCCGCGUGAGGGAUGACGGCCUUCGGGUUGUAAACCUCUUUCAGCAGGGAAGAAGCGAAAGUGACGGUACCUGCAGAAGAAGCGCCGGCUAACUACGUGCCAGCAGCCGCGGUAAUACGUAGGGCGCAAGCGUUGUCCGGAAUUAUUGGGCGUAAAGAGCUCGUAGGCGGCUUGUCACGUCGGUUGUGAAAGCCCGGGGCUUAACCCCGGGUCUGCAGUCGAUACGGGCAGGCUAGAGUUCGGUAGGGGAGAUCGGAAUUCCUGGUGUAGCGGUGAAAUGCGCAGAUAUCAGGAGGAACACCGGUGGCGAAGGCGGAUCUCUGGGCCGAUACUGACGCUGAGGAGCGAAAGCGUGGGGAGCGAACAGGAUUAGAUACCCUGGUAGUCCACGCCGUAAACGGUGGGCACUAGGUGUGGGCAACAUUC
rnacentral:rRNA from 1 species